UACGGAGGAUGCAAGCGUUAUCCGGAUUUAUUGGGUUUAAAGGGUGCGUAGGCGGAUAUGUAAGUCAGCGGUGAAACUCACAGGCUCAACCUGUGCCGUGCCGUUGAAACUGUGUAUCUGGAAUGCGGAUGCUGUGGGAGGAAUGUGUAGUGUAGCGGUGAAAUGCAUAGAUAUUACACAGAACACCGAUUGCGAAGGCAUCUCACAAAACCGUUAUUGACGCUGAGGCACGAAAGUGUGGGGAGUCAAACA
rnacentral:rRNA from 1 species